AAGAAAUCCACCCUCCGGAUAUGCAGAAUGAUGUUGUUGUAAUCACUCUUCAAAGGGAGAUCCACAGUAAACAAAUGUUAGCUUGUCGCCUCUGCAGCUACUUUUGGUGAGCUGCAGAACUUCCAGAAAAAAGGCUGGGACUAAGGGGAGAGGAAAAAUUUAGCUGUAGAACAAGUUGACUCUCUGAAGUUUGCCAGCAUUACUACAAACCAGUAAGACUGAGAAACUAAACCAUCCCAUAAAGAAAAGUGCUUGGACCAGAUAAUGUUGUGUAAUAGUAAUUGGAUUCCAGUGCCUGACGUUUCCAGAAUUUAAACAAGCAACUGCUUCUUAUGGUGUUUGUGCUCUAUUUGAAGCAGAGAGGUGGGAGUGACACGUAAAGAUUCAUCUUUGGAAAAGGUACCAUAUCAGGAUGGGCGAGCUGUCUCCAGCUAAGCAAAUUAACCUCUUGAGAAACAAGAGAAUGCAAGUUAACAGGUUCUGAUUUUGCCUAUGAAAAUGAGCUUCAGAUGUGAGGCUGUGAUCUAUGUAAAUUAAAUGUAAUCCCUCAGUAUCAGAAGAUAAUUCUACUUGGGCCACUUAAGGACAAAAAAACGUGCUAACGGUCCAUGCUGCAACACCAGACUAAGUCAUCUGGUGCUGAGAUAAGAGCUGCGUGGUGAAACCUGCUGCUAGUUUGUGUUUCAUGGGCAAUCUGGAGUACCGAGGAGCACGUCAGGCCUUGACGCCCACCAUUACAGCAGCGUGGAGCCCUGUCUGACACAGCAGUGUGUGGCAUUGCCUAAGAUGGUGGCCACCCCAGGCCUGGCAGGAGGGUGGAUAAAUGUGAUGAUGCUUUCUGAGGCCGGGGCUUGCAAGAAAGGCAUUGCAGCCCUGCUGCUCAUGCUGUCUGAGGUGUCUGUUGCCACACCGUCUGGCUCAGCCAUGCUGAAACAGUGCUCACAGAUGUGAGACCAGCAGCAGCGGCAGAAAGACUUUGUCAACACCAGCAAAUCACUGUUUCUACCUCUGCAAGGUCAGCUUCUGAAGGCAACGUGUUCAAGACCACAGCUCCACAACUGGCUGUUGCCCUCGACUGUUGAGUUGUUGUUCUACAAAGCUGAAUUCAUACAGAACUUGAAUACCAUGUGCAAAAGAAGAAAAAAAAUGCAGAAGACUCAGAAAAAGGCAGCAGGAAUGAUCAAAAGUCUGAGCAAGAAGUGACUGAACUGCUUGGAUUCUUCAGUUCAGAGAAUAAAUGAGCAAGAGUAGUCCGAAAUGAUCAGAAGAUACAUGGGAAUAGAAGCGUUCAGAAGGAAGAAGGGUGAAGUCUGUCUCAGAGAAGUCAUCUCCACAUCAGCGGGUGACAGGCUAUGCUGGUAAUUCCUAUAGGGAGUCCACCUGGGAUGCUGGCACUGGAACCUCUGCACUACUGCCCAUUCCCAGGAAGGAUUUCAUCCCUUUAAGAGGACUGGCCGAGUUCCCACCUCUAGUGUUGCAGUCUGCUUGAAAACUCAGACAUCAAUAAAACCAUUAAGGUUCCAGAAGAAGCUUUAAGAGGAAGUGCCAGAACUUUGUUAGGGAAAGAUUGCGGUACUUUUAGUCCCUGAGGAAGCCUGGCAAGAUUAUAAAGAUAGCAGUGUGCUCCGCAGAAGACUGAGAGGUGGAGGAAGCAGACAAGAUGGAAAAGUUAAUAGGAAGAAGGAAAAGUGUAAAAGAGUGAAUGAAUCCAUGCAGAAGAUCAUGAACACAUUGCCAAAUCAUAUUUGCGAAACACCGCUUCCUGCUGAUACCCAAAUAUUAAU